rnacentral:siRNA from 1 species
UAUGUGGUCAAUGCAAAUUUA